AUUCUUACCUGGCAGAGGAGAAACUGUUAUCAUGAAGGUGGUUUCUCCCAGGGCAAUGUUUAGCUAUCAUACUCUGGAUGAGUGGAUCCCUGCUAAUUCCCCAUGUGAAAAACUUGAAUACAAAAUGUGUGCUAUUGGCCU
rnacentral:snRNA from 1 species